GCGGAUGUAACUCAGUUGGUAGAGUGUUGGCCUGAAAAGCCAAAGUCAGGGGUUCAAUUCCCCUCAUCCGCA
rnacentral:tRNA from 1 species